GAGCGAAACAGGAAAAGGAGCUUGCUCCUUUGACGUUAGCGGCGGACGGGUGAGUAACACGUGGGCAACCUACCCUAUAGUUUGGGAUAACUCCGGGAAACCGGGGCUAAUACCGAAUAAUCUCUUUUGCUUCAUGGUGAAAGACUGAAAGACGGUUUCGGCUGUCGCUAUAGGAUGGGCCCGCGGCGCAUUAGCUAGUUGGUGAGGUAACGGCUCACCAAGGCGACGAUGCGUAGCCGACCUGAGAGGGUGAUCGGCCACACUGGGACUGAGACACGGCCCAGACUCCUACGGGAGGCAGCAGUAGGGAAUCUUCCACAAUGGGCGAAAGCCUGAUGGAGCAACGCCGCGUGAGUGAAGAAGGUUUUCGGAUCGUAAAACUCUGUUGUAAGGGAAGAACAAGUACAGUAGUAACUGGCUGUACCUUGACGGUACCUUAUUAGAAAGCCACGGCUAACUACGUGCCAGCAGCCGCGCUCAUACGUGGGUGGCAAGCGUUGACCGGAAUUAUUGGGCGUAAAGCGCGCGCAGGCGGUCCUUUAGUCUGAUGUGAAAGCCCACGGCUCAACCGUGGGAGGGUCAUUUGGAAAACUGGGGGGACUUGAG
rnacentral:rRNA from 1 species